rnacentral:rRNA from 1 species
CAUGAAGUUGGAAUCGCUAGUAAUCGCGGAUCAGCAUGCCGCGGUGAAUACGUUCCCGGGCCUUGUACACACCGCCCGUCACACCAUGAGAGUCGGGAACACCCGAAGUCCGUAGCCUGACCGCAAGGGGGCGCGGCCGAAGGUGGGUUCGAUAAUUGGGGUGAAGUCGUAACAAGGUAUC